GACGAACGCUGGCGGCGUGCCUAAUACAUGCAAGUCGAGCGAAUUUACGAGAGCUUGCUCUCGUAAAUUAGCGGCGGACGGGUGAGUAACACGUGGGCAACCUACCUAUAAGACUGGGAUAACUUCGGGAAACCGGAGCUAAUACCGGAUAAUUCACAUCUACUCAUGUAGAUGUGCUGAAAGACGGUUUACGCUGUCACUUAUAGAUGGGCCCGCGGCGCAUAGCUAGUUGGUGAGGUAACGGCUCACCAAGGCAACGAUGCGUAGCCGACCUGAGAGGGUGAUCGGCCACACUGGGACUGAGACACGGCCCAGACUCCUACGGGAGGCAGCAGUAGGGAAUAUUGGACAAUGGGCGAAAGCCUGAUCCAGCGACGCCGCGUGGGUGAAGAAGGCCUGCGGGUUGUAAA
rnacentral:rRNA from 1 species